UAAACGGGGACAAGAUCUGG
rnacentral:siRNA from 1 species